UACGAAGGGGGCUAGCGUUGUUCGGAAUCACUGGGCGUAAAGGGCGCGUAGGCGGCUUUGUAAGUCGGGGGUGAAAGCCUGUGGCUCAACCUCAGAAUUGCCUUCGAUACUGCAUGGCUUGAGACCGGAAGAGGUAAGUGGAACUGCGAGUGUAGAGGUGAAAUUCGUAGAUAUUCGCAAGAACACCAGUGGCGAAGGCGGCUUACUGGUCCGGUUCUGACGCUGAGGCGCGAAAGCGUGGGGAGCAAACAGG
rnacentral:rRNA from 1 species